CUACGGGUUGCACCAGUGGGGAAUAUUGCACAAUGGGCGCAAGCCUGAUGCAGCCAUGCUGCGUGUAUGAAGAAGGCCUUCGGGUUGUAAAGUACUUUCAGCGGGGAGGAAGGGAGUAAAGUUAAUACCUUUGCUCAUUGACGUUACCCGCAGAAGAAGCACCGGCUAACUCCGUGCCAGCAGCCGCGGUAAUACGGAGGGUGCAAGCGUUAAUCGGAAUUACUGGGCGUAAAGCGCACGCAGGCGGUUUGUUAAGUCAGAUGUGAAAUCCCCGGGCUCAACCUGGGAAAUGCAUCUGAUACUGGCAGGCUUGAGUCUCGUAGAGGGGGGUAGAAUUCCAGGUGUAGCGGUGAAAUGCGUAGAGAUCUGGAGGAAUACCGGUGGCGAAGGCGGCCCCCUGGACGAAGACUGACGCUCAGGUGCGAAAGCGUGGGGAGCAAACAGGAUUAGAUACCCGCGUAGUC
rnacentral:rRNA from 1 species